rnacentral:lncRNA from 1 species
UUAAGGACCUUUAUUAUGGCAGGUGGGUAUGUUUGUGACCUGGGGUGCUUCUCUCUCUCCCUGGCAUUUCCGUUUCCGUUCUGAUUCCUUCCUCAGUUUCAUUUAGAGCGCGUCUGGUGGCAUUGGCAGUGCGGCAACUCGCGGCGUAUUUCGGCUGCAGGUAUGUUUAGGUGCUCCGUUUGUUUACCGUCUCAUCUGUAAUUUUUAUUGUGUGUUGCUCUCAGUAAUUGCAGCGAGAGCAGUGAAUGCUGGCUGGUAGACUGAGCUAUGACACCGGUUGUGAGUAACCAUAUAGCGUUGCAUCUAAUGUUU